CGGAGAUCGGCAGCGGGCGGACGCCUCGCCAACCUGGUCAGGGCCGGAAGGCAGCAGCCACAACGAGUUUCGCUCCGGGUCGUUGUUCGGUCUCCACCU
rnacentral:SRP_RNA from 1 species